rnacentral:rRNA from 1 species
GACGAACGCUGGCGGCGUGCUUAACACAUGCAAGUCGAACGGAAAGGCCCUGCUUUUGUGGGGUGCUCGAGUGGCGAACGGGUGAGUAACACGUGAGUAACCUGCCCUUGACUUUGGGAUAACUUCAGGAAACUGGGGCUAAUACCGGAUAGGAGCUCCUGCUGCAUGGUGGGGGUUGGAAAGUUUCGGCGGUUGGGGAUGGACUCGCGGCUUAUCAGCUUGUUGGUGGGGUAGUGGCUUACCAAGGCUUUGACGGGUAGCCGGCCUGAGAGGGUGACCGGCCACAUUGGGACUGAGAUACGGCCCAGACUCCUACGGGAGGCAGCAGUGGGGAAUAUUGCACAAUGGGCGGAAGCCUGAUGCAGCAACGCCGCGUGCGGGAUGACGGCCUUCGGGUUGUAAACCGCUUUCGCCUGUGACGAAGCGUGAGUGACGGUAAUGGGUAAAGAAGCACCGGCUAACUACGUGCCAGCAGCCGCGGUGAUACGUAGGGUGCGAGCGUUGUCCGGAUUUAUUGGGCGUAAAGGGCUCGUGGGUGGUUGAUCGCGUCGGAAGUGUAAUCUUGGGGCUUAACCCUGAGCGUGCUUUCGAUACGGGUUGACUUGAGGAAGGUAGGGGAGAAUGGAAUUCCUGGUGGAGCGGUGGAAUGCGCAGAUAUCAGGAGGAACACCAGUGGCGAAGGCGGUUCUCUGGGCCUUUCCUGACGCUGAGGAGCGAAAGCGUGGGGAGCGAACAGGCUUAGAUACCCUGGUAGUCCACGCUGUAAACGGUGGGUACUAGGUGUGGGGUCCAUUCCACGGGUUCCGUGCCGUAGCUAACGCUUUAAGUACCCCGCCUGGGGAGUACGGCCGCAAGGCUAAAACUCAAAGGAAUUGACGGGGCCCCGCACAAGCGGCGGAGCAUGCGGAUUAAUUCGAUGCAACGCGUAGAACCUUACCUGGGUUUGACAUGGAUCGGGAGCGCUCAGAGAUGGGUGUGCCUCUUUUGGGGUCGGUUCACAGGUGGUGCAUGGCUGUCGUCAGCUCGUGUCGUGAGAUGUUGGGUUAAGUCCCGCAACGAGCGCAACCCUUGUUCACUGUUGCCAGCACGUUAUGGUGGGGACUCAGUGGAGACCGCCGGGGUCAACUCGGAGGAAGGUGGGGAUGACGUCAAGUCAUCAUGCCCCUUAUGUCCAGGGCUUCACGCAUGCUACAAUGGCUGGUACAGAGAGUGGCGAGCCUGUGAGGGUGAGCGAAUCUCGGAAAGCCGGUCUCAGUUCGGAUUGGGGUCUGCAACUCGACCUCAUGAAGUCGGAGUCGCUAGUAAUCGCAGAUCAGCAACGCUGCGGUGAAUACGUUCCCGGG